AGGAUCUGGGCCGCUCUAAAAUUGUUCUCUGUUCCAGCCCCCACCCCCCUCCUGGAAUCAGGUCCCCUGUACAAUGAGCCCCAAUGGAUGACUCCAUUCCUGCUUGUCUGACGCCAAAUCAGGACGUCUUUCCAGCUUCCUGCAGCUGGAGACAUCAUGCCCUUCUUGCAGCUUCCCAAACCGACUUCUUGACUUGGCCUCAGAAAUCCCCAGAUGCUCUUUCUGGAGGCUUAAGCCUUGCUCCACCUGCGGGCAGUUGGGGGAUUGGCGGGCUCCAGCCGCGCGAUUUUGCAGCCAUUGCUGCCCCCUGGUGAUGUCUUUUGACGCUGCGGUGCUCUCUGGCCUGGCACUUCCAAACCAACAGGUUCAGGUCUGUCUUUAAGGUAGAUACUGUUUCCAUCAUUUCCAGCGGGGGAGCUGGAAUUAACGGGAAGGUGGAUGAAUGGCUCAGUAAUCCCAGCACUUGGGAACUGAGAGACACCUGCUUCCACGCUUGACCCAAGGUCACUCAAUGGCUUGAACUUGAUGUCCUUCUGAUUUUAGAACCAAAUCGGGUGCGUUCCAGAAAACCUGAGAAACAGAAAGUGGUAAAGAAAAUAAAGACUACCUGGAGUUCCUGUCGUGGGUCAGUGGUUAAGUAACCCGACUAGGAUCCAUGAGGACGUGGGUUCGAUCCCUGCCCUCGCUCAGUGGGUUAAGGAUCCAGCGUUGCCGUGAGCUGUGGUGUAGGUCACAGACAAGGCUUGGAUCUGGCAUUGCUCUGGCUGUGGCAUAGGCUAGCCGCUACAGCUCCGAUUCGACCCCUAGCCUGGGAACCUCCAUAUGCCAUGGGUAUGGCCCUAAAAAGACAAGAAAGAAAAGAAAAGAAAGAUUACCUGUAAGUCCUGAGACACCAACUGUUAACCAUUUUGGUGUAUAGCCUUCUAAUAUGUCUUUUUAGGUGUAUAUAUAUCAAUGCACUUACUAUUACAAAAUUGGGUUUGUGUGUGUGUGUUGUUUUUGUGAAGCAUUUAAUAUGUCUUUAAUUUAGAAGCAGAAGAAAAUCUGGAAAAUUAGAAAAGCAAAGGGGAUACAAUUUUAACACUUAAAAUCCCACCAUCCAGAGAUAGCCUUUCUUCCCAAAUUAGUUUCUAUGUAUGACAGUUGAUGCUUUUUUAUCCUUCUCUUUUACAAAAAUCCAAUUCUGAAAUUAAAAAAUUUUUCCCAAGGGAAAAUGUAUUCUCAUACUUUGGAUUACCCCACAACAGUGUACACUUUCUUUUUUUCCCUCCCCAGCAGUUUCUCACCAUCUUCUGGAAACAUUCUCCACCACCCCUCCUUCCUCCACCUCCCCUGACAUUCCAUUCAUAAGGCUCCCGCUUCCACAGGAGCAACCAGGCCUCCUGUGAGCCUGCGUGUAUUCAUCUAUGGGAUCAAUUCUUAGAAGGAGAGUACAUGCUUUUUGUAAGUCUUUUUUUUUUUUUUUUUUUUUUUUUUUUUGCUUUUUAGGGCCACUCCCAUGGCACUAUGGAAGUUCCCAACUAGGGGUCAAAUCAGAGCUGUAGCUGCUGGCCUCUGCCACAGCCAUAGCAACAUCAGAUCCUAGCUGCAUCACAGCUUGUGGCAAUGUAGGAUCCUUAACCCACUGAAUGAGGCCAGGGAUUGAACCUGCAUCCUCAUGGAUACUGUGUUGGGCUCUUAACCCUGCUGAGUGGGAACUCCUAUACAUCUUGUUAGAGACCACCAAACUCUUUUGCAAGAAAAUCACAGCACUUUGGAUGUCCACCAUCAGCCAGGAGAGGGCUGGUUUCCCAGAUGGAUCACCAACAGAGUGUUGUCAAACUUUUGGCCCUGGGAUCAUAUAACUUUACCUACAAUGGGCUGAGUGUGUGUUCUGCCAGACACCAGAUGCAGUGCUGUCCAUUUAGUAAUACUCAUUGAAUCCUCCCAAUAACCCAAUGAUGGAAAUAGUAUUCACUUCAUCUUCGAGAUGAGGAAACUGAGGUUUAGAGGGCUUAGCCUGCCUCAGUACAGGGAACCGAGCUGAAUCCAACUCUAGCCUUCAUUCUCACCUCCACCCAGUGAUCCUCAAGUUGGAACGGAUUGGAUCAAAAUUCUUUGGAGAGAUUUGUGAGAAGUUGGUAGCAUUUCUGAUUCCAUAGGUGUAGAAAGGGCCUGAGAACAUGCUAUUGAGGUAGGAGGUUGAUGGGCCUCUGGGCUGAGAACAGCUGGGACUUGUAAGGCUGCAUAAAUUGGGCCUUGCUUCUCUCGGACACUCAAGGAGAAAGUUAAUGGCAGGAGCGGAGCUCUGCUGGAAUGAAAAAGAUUAGAUGACCACAUCAAUCACUUCUGGGGUCAAGGAGACCUCCCCGAUUACACAUGGGCAGAAAAACUCUUAGGGGCCCAAGGGGAGGGGGCACCAGGCCAUAAUAAGUCCUGUUAACUGUCCCGUAAGCCCUUGCUCUGGAAUCUAUCUUGGCCAAAAGAUGGGCAUGCAUAUCAGGGAGGACCCUGGGUCCGGUCAGGUGUGAGAAAUAAAACACAAUACUUGGCCAAAGGAAAACAAAGACCCAGAAGAAAUGUCCCAUAUAAGUGGUUUAAAUCGCCCCUCUGGCGUAUGCCUUAUUUAGGGUGACGCCUGCACCUGCAUUCCUCCUUUGGGUGUGUAUUACUGCCUUGCUGCUGUCUUAAAUAAAUAAAGUACUUCCCUGUGUGCUCUCCCACAUCUCCUGUGUCUCUGAUAAUAAACUUUGUACCAGUUUUUACAGUCUUUGCCUCCUUGAAACAUUCUUGUUUUCAACAGGGGCAAGAAUCAGGGCAGUUCUGCUUUUAGCCUCUAGCUGGUCUAGUGGCUAGGAUUCCUGGUUUUCAUCCAGGCUGCCUAGGUUCAAUUCCUGAGCAGAAAAUUAAGAUGUUGCUUCAAGCCCUCGCUCACUGCUGUCUCUCCGAGAUCACUCUCUAGAAACGACCUUGCUCACCUGCCAUUGAGUGCUUGUUUGCAUUGUACAUGUUCUACGAACAUUUUGUUUGCAGGUCUAUAUGGGAGAAAUGGGAAUAGAUCUUUCAUAGCCUCUUGAAUGCACCAAGUUAGGUUUGUGUUUUUCAUUUCUUCAAGACUGUUUCCUCACUCUUUUAUUUUAUUUAUUUUUUUCUUUCUUUUUUCUUUUUUUUAGGUCCACCCCCGAGGCAUAUGGAAUUUUCCCAGGCAGGGGUCAAAUCAGAGCUACAGCUGCCAGCCUAUGCCACAGACACAGCAAUACCAGAUCCAAGCGAAAAUGCAGGAGCCUUACCCCCUAAGCCAUUGGAGAACUCCCUCCCCACCUUUUUAAUGGAGAUGGUACCCAGAGGAACUGAGGACUGUGAAAUGCUGAACCAAAGCCGGUUCUAAUUAUGCCUAUUGGUGGAGAAGCUGUGAAGUACAGCAGAAAACACUUUGGAUUGAGAUGGUGACUGAAGGUGAUGAUAGACAAAUCUGUUUACUGCGCUGAGCCUCAAAUGCCUUCUCUGGGCACAUCAUGGGCUCCUUGAGGGUUAAACAAGCCCUUGUGUGUGUUGUUCCAAGGGCUCCUUCUGCUCCAGAAGCUCCAGAGGCAGUGGUGGCCUCUGUGCCAGUCAGGCUGACUCCAGAACAGUGGUUACCCCUUGGGAUGCUUCCAGCCAUUGUGCCUCUCCGUUCUCAGGAAGAGAGUUCAUUUCCAGCUACGUUCCCAGAAACUCUGGGACGCCCUGUUCUUUUCAUGUUCUAGUGAGGACCUCUCUGUCACACCAAGUGGCUUCUUUUCCACAAUUGGAAAUCAGCAAUGUGAGGACAUGUCUUCAGAUUCCCGAAAAGUGCCCUGUUGAACACUAUGACCCUGGGGGCUCCUGGGCUAGUGCCAGUUGUUCUAGGGGAUGUAGCUAUGGCCGUGGACAAGAUAGAAAGCCCUGCCCUCUUAAGCCUGUUGAUCCUGUGUCCCUCAGUAUGUCAACGCUGAAGCUGGAUGUUUCCUUGGAAUCUGAUGAGGGGCAAAUGGGCAAAUUCACAGAGCAUUUGAGGUUGAUCUGAAAUUGACCCAGUGGAGCUCAGGUCUCCAGGAGCACUGGCCGUGAGACACAGCUGGAACUUCUCACAGGGAUCUGGAACUCCUGUUCUCUUGCAGAUGCUGGCUCAGUAGGUCAGGACUGGGGCCCAAGAACUUGCAUUUCUAACGAACUCAGAUGUUGCUGGGCUAUGGACUAUAAUUUGCCUAUCCAGAGUUUAGUAAUGGCUGUAUCAUCACUACCAAAUGUAAUCUUAUUUUUUUGCAGCUUUCAGUGAUGUUUUUUUCCUUUUUAUGGCCACACCUGUAGCAUAUGGAAGUUCUCGGGCUAGGGAUCAAAUUGGAGCUGCAGCUGCUGGCCUACACCACGGCCACAGCCAUGCCAGAUCCAAGCCGCAUCUGUGACCUGGAACACAGCUUGCAGUACUGCCAGAUACUUAACCCACUGAGCAUGGCCAGGGAUCCAGCCUACAUCCUCGUGGAUGCUAUGUCAGGUUCUUAACCCACUGAACCACAAUGGGAACUCCUUCAGUGACAUUCUGAAUAUACUAGAACACACAUUCUGAAAAACUAAUUUUAUUAGAGCAUUCCAGUUGUUUACGUUUUUGGACAGGGCUGUGGGUUUGGGUGUCAGACCCUGGCUCCUACUAUUGUUUUCAAGUGACCAGAAACAGCCUUGAACUUGCAAUACUGAAGCCCCAGUUUUUCAUCUGUGAGCAGAGACUUUUCCUACCUCUGUCUUGUUUAGGCAAAACCUAAAUUGCUGGACAUUUUAAAAGGAUGGAUUCAAGGGUCUCCCUGUAACUAUUUUAAUCUGGGUUAAAAACUAUCUUCCCCUGGGUUAGCCCGAGGAAGCUGCUGGGAUGCUGAAAUCUUACCAGCAUAUUGAUGCCCUGGCAUUCUGAAUCCAUGUGCAGUGUCUCUAGACAAAUACACGACAGGCAUCCAUCCGUUGAACGUUUGCUAUGUGCUGGGCAGUCUGUCACCUGACAUCCAGGAAUUACCUUGUUGACUACAACUCUCUGAGGUAGAGCCAAUUAUUUUCUCCAAACAAUCCAGACACACAAAACUGAAGGUCACAGAGAAUGUCAGUAGCCCAAAUACAUAUAUUUUUAAAGUGGAUACAACCCAGAUUGUACUGGCCCUGACUCCUAGACCUCAGCUCUUGAAUACAUUUAAAUAAUUUAAAAUUUAAAAAAGUAAAAAUGAAAGAGAAGUUUUAGCCUUCAAUUUAAAAAGAUACAUUUUUGCAAGUCCAGUUGUAACAAUUCUGAUUUUUCUGCAACGCUUUUAUUAGAUAAAAACCAUUACUAAAACUUUUAUUUGACUUCAGAAAAUCCUGUUUAGAUCAAUACUUUUCAUGAUGCUAAAACUUUUGGGGGAAUUCCCGUUUGUGGCGCUGCCGAAACAAAUCUGACUAGGAACCAUGAGGUUGCAGGUUUGAUCCCUGGCCUCGAUCAGUGGGUUAAGGAUCUGGCGUUGCCGUGAGCUGUGGUGUAGGUCACAGACUAAGCUCAGAUCUGGUGUUGCUGUGGCUGUGGUGUAGGCUGGCAGCUAUAGCUCCGAUUAGACCCCUAGCCUGGGAACUUCCAUAUGCUGUGGGUGUGGCCAUAAAAAGACAAAAAGACAAAUUUUAAAUUUAGCACUAAAGCUUCUAAAUGGUUGUUAUUUAUAUCUGAGUCAAAAUUCUAGAUUUCUAUAGGGAGACUAUAACUUUAUGCUGUUUAUUUCAUCUUGGUUAUAAAAAUAAAUACUACACUGCUAAAAAAUUUUCUUUCUCAACUUUGGGCCAUUCACUGUCUUUUCUAUAUCAAAAGUUAAAAUUAUUGUGUUUCUGUAUCUAAUAAUACUGGUUAAGCACAGAUUUUGAGAUAAAAAGAAAAUGGGGUUUAAUAUUUUAUCAUUAUAACCUGUUAUAAUGAGGAGGCCAGAUCAGAGGUUUUCCUAAGAAAGCUAACUUUAAACUCAGUAUUGAUUUUCCUCCUAUAAUUCACACUUGACUAUUGAUUCAGAUGCCCAACACUCUUGUAGGAUUUCAAACCUUCUCUUGAGAGUUCUUCACAAGGCUUUCAAGUCUGAAACAGAGCUUCAGUAGCAAAACAGAGGUGACCAAGGAGAGUCAACUGUUCAAUUCUUCCUGAGGUCUGUUAAUAAUGCACCCCCACUUCCCUGGACCUUGGGUUAAUUUAGACUUUCUCUGUGAACUAUGGCGAAGGUUAGUUCCACAUUAGACUCUGACAAACAAUAUGAAAGCAAAUUGACCUCACCACUGUGUGCAACGGUAUCAGUCAUUAAGGUCUAAGGCAGAAUCGCCUUCCUGCUGUGUUCAUAAUAAUUAUUCCUGGAAUUAUGCUGUGUGGGGCUGGUGGGGGGUGUGCACAGCUUCCGUGAUGUUCAAGGUGAAAGACUGGUAGCCAAGCCGGGAAAUGUAUCUCCUGCUAAAGGCAUAAUACAAAAAUAUCCCUGAGUUCCUAUUGUGGCUCAGUGGGUUAAGGACUCAACAGUGUCUCCAAAAGGAUGCGGGUUCAAUCCCUGGCCUUGUGCAGUGAGUUAAGGAUCCAGCAUAGCCACAAGGUACAGUGUAGGCUGCAGAUGUGUCAAGGUCUGGUGUUGCUCUGGCUGUGGUGUAGGCCGGCAGCUGCAGCUUCAAUUCAACACCUACCCUGGGAACUUCC
rnacentral:lncRNA from 1 species